UAUGUGUAGUUUUGUGCAGUCAGUGCCAUGCUGCAAAUGUAAGUUGACUGUUUGUGAAAACAUGGUUUGUCUUUGGAAUUAAGGGGAAAGAGUUUAAGAUGACAUGCCGUAUACCUGACCGUGGGAACGCUUGGAGUAGAAUGACUUUAUUGUGGACUUCAAGAUCUAUGACUUUGAGACAAGUGGUAUGCCAAAAAAGCGCAUCAAAAUACCAGUUGGAGCAUUGUGCCCCUUGGUAUUCAUAACCUGACCUGCGCUGGGGGAGUCUGAGAGGUGAAAAUUGAACAGCUGGCGGCCAGGGUGAGAAUGGAGCCACAUUCAUCAGCAAUAUUAUUGAUUGAAAUUGAUCACCCUCUGGCAUCAAAAUGGUUGCACCUUGGUAGACCAAGACCAGAAGUAAGUGUGCAUAAUUACCAUUGACUGUGUAAAACAUACACCAUAUCCCUUCCCUACAACAUGAAAAUAUAUAUUGGCUAUAUAUAUUGGAAUAUAA
ensembl:lncRNA